UCAACUGUAAACAGAUAUCAAAAAAGUAAUCUGCCAGCCUCAAAUUCUUUAUGUCUGUCAUUUACCACUAACAACCCCUACUGCAGACACUGGAACAUUAAGGGUAAGAUGUGAAAAAAAAAAAAAUCAGAAUUUCAAAAAAGACUGCUCAUUUUUCAAAACAAAAAAAAAGGCACUACUCUUGCAGUUGCAUCUAGCUCCUUUUCAUGUCUUCUGAAUAAAAAGAUGGUUUGCAAAACAGCCUACUUAUAUAUUGCUGUGUUUAUUCUGCAUAUAACUAGAGAGAAAAAUUAUGUAUAUUCUAGGCUGCUGUUGAAUUUUGUCAAACUAUCCACUGAAUCAGGAAAAAAAUACUCCUCUCUCUUGCUCACUCCAAAAUAUGAGGUACAGCCAAUAACCUUUAGGAAAAGGCUAUCUUUUCCUAAAAAUAUACUGGCAAUUUUGUUUUUCCUAGUAAACUCAGGCAAAACAGACUAAUGCAUAAAGAACUGGUAUAAUACGCGCUUCUAUGGAACUUGUGCUUUAAUGCAGAAAUACAUGGAUGCUGCAAAUGCUGUCUGCUGGGUUCCUGUACUCAGUUUUCAUAGCUUCAAACCUUGUUUCGUAUUAAACGUACCAUAAGUGAGCACAACGUAACCUCAUUCUGUUCAGUAAGGGGGAACUGGAUGUGUUUUGUUCUUUGGAAGGUUAAAUCCUAUCUAUGUGUAUAUUCUUGAUACUUUGUAAGAGACAAAACACUACAGUAAUACACCAAAAGAAGGAAUCAGAAUCAAUAAAAGUUUCCAAGGAUUUUAAGGUGUUUUUAAAAAUAUUCAAGGAAGCUUAUUUUAAUUCCCUAAAGAGCUGUUCAGAUUAAGAAACCAGGUUGGACUUCCCCAAGAGCCCCGCGCAUCCCGCUCCGGCCGCACUGCAAAGGAGAAGCAGUCGCGGUCUGUCCCGUAUCGCUCCACAGCGACUUAUUGACCUCCUCCCCUUGUUCAGUUCUGGUGAUUUCUCUCUCCCAUGUGGCUCGAUAGGAAGAAAUCCAGACCUUGCCCUUCAGAUAACGAUUAGCAUCCCUUGGCUAAAGUUAGAACAACAACAACAAAGCGGACAGGCGCCUCCGACACGAGGGUUUACACCUUUCCCCCACGACGCCAUCCGGAACCUCUCCCCGAUAAAGCAUUCCCGGCCGCAUCCCGGCACCGCGCCGACACCCCGCGAGGAUUCCAGCCGCCUUCGCACGUUCUGACUUCUUCAGCUAGCUCAGUGGAAGGACUUCUGAACUGAAAACCACUGGACUAUUCACAAAAUAGAGGCAGAAGUCUCUUGAGAUGAAUUUGUCCUGGGAUCAGAUGUUGUGUUUGCAUCAAGAAGUCUGACAAUCAUCCCCAAAACACGAAUGUCAAACACGUUCAGAAUUUCAUCAACACAAACCUAGUUCCAAGUCUUCUGGUCCGUAAUCCCAUAAAGAUUGACCUUAUGAGUUUUCCAAAGGAGGCAGCAUUGACUGGAUCCAACUUGUGUUCCUGACAGUGUCGUCAUCAUAAGGAUCUUCAAGACUUGCAACAGGUUCUUCCAGAAUACAUGACUAUCAGAGAUGAUCAAGCAAAUCUGUAGCAAUAGAGAGCAACAGGACAACUAUAGCUAACAGCCACCUACCUGUUGCUGAACUGGCACUUGCUGUACUACCUGUGUGGGUACUGCUGCCUGGCCAGCCACAGACGUCUGUAAAGUCACAGUUGAACCUGUAUCCGAC